AUUGAACGCUGGCGGCAGGCCUAACACAUGCAAGUCGAACGAGUGGCGGACGGGUGAGUAAUGUCUGGGAAACUGCCUGAUGGGGGGGGAACAAUACUGGAAACGGUAGCUAAUACCGCAUACCAUCAGAUGUGCCCAGAUGGGAAUAGCUUGUUGGUGGGGUAAGGGCUCACCAAGGCGACGAUCCCUAGCUGGUCUGAGAGGAUGACCAGCAACACGGGAACUGAGACACGGUCAGGACGCCUACGGGAGGCAGCAGUGGGGAAUAUUGCACAAGGGGCGCAAGCCUGAGGCAGCCAUGCCGCGUGUAUGAAGAAGGCCUUCGGGUUGUAAAGUACUUUCAGCGGGGAGGCGUUACCCGCAGAAGAAGCACCGGCUAACUCCGUGCCAGCAGCCGCGGUAAUAC
rnacentral:rRNA from 1 species